CAGCGCAAGCUAGCAAGACAGAAGCUUAGCUCGUUGCAACAUGGUAAAUUGAACCUCCCCCACCCUCAUUCAGAUCUGGCCUUUGGAACUAUUUUGGUCUUCAUGUGAAGUAUGACCCUGAAGGACAUUCCUACACCAAUAAUGGACCAGUUCCUCAGAGGGAGGCCAAUGUGGACUAAAUUGGACAUCCUGACUCUGCCGACUGAUGGACAGUAUGAUGGACCACAUCAGAGCUAAAGUGCCACAGACACAGGACAAAAGAAAAGUCGAGACCAAUAAUUGUUGGUACUGCAGCAGACUGGUCACAGUUCUUUCAUUCUCAGUGAUGGGAAGAGA